AGAGUUUGAUCAUGGCUCAGAUUGAACGCUGGCGGCAUGCCUUACACAUGCAAGUCGAACGGUAACAGGUCUUCGGAUGCUGACGAGUGGCGAACGGGUGAGUAAUACAUCGGAACGUGCCCGAUCGUGGGGGAUAACGAGACGAAAGCUUUGCUAAUACCGCAUACGAUCUACGGAUGAAAGCGGGGGAUCUUCGGACCUCGCGCGGACGGAGCGGCCGAUGGCAGAUUAGGUAGUUGGUGGGAUAAAAGCUUACCAAGCCGACGAUCUGUAGCUGGUCUGAGAGGAUGAUCAGCCACACUGGGACUGAGACACGGCCCAGACUCCUACGGGAGGCAGCAGUGGGGAAUUUUGGACAAUGGGCGAAAGCCUGAUCCAGCCAUGCCGCGUGCAGGAUGAAGGCCUUCGGGUUGUAAACUGCUUUUGUACGGAACGAAAAGCCUCUUUCUAAUAAAGAGGGGUCAUGACGGUACCGUAAGAAUAAGCACCGGCUAACUACGUGCCAGCAGCCGCGGUAAUACGUAGGGUGCAAGCGUUAAUCGGAAUUACUGGGCGUAAAGCGUGCGCAGGCGGUUUUGUAAGACAGAGGUGAAAUCCCCGGGCUCAACCUGGGAACUGCCUUUGUGACUGCAAGGCUGGAGUGCGGCAGAGGGGGAUGGAAUUCCGCGUGUAGCAGUGAAAUGCGUAGAUAUGCGGAGGAACACCGAUGGCGAAGGCAAUCCACUGGGCCUGCACUGACGCUCAUGCACGAAAGCGUGGGGAGCAAACAGGAUUAGAUACCCCGGUAGU
rnacentral:rRNA from 1 species